rnacentral:sRNA from 1 species
CCCUAGCCCUGAUUGCAACGGCAUCCUUUUUCUUGAGGCUUUUUUACCGAAAGAAAAAGAUAUAGUGAAAAGCAGGAAGCAGC